rnacentral:ribozyme from 13 species
GAUAUAUUCUCUGAUUGACCCCGAAGAAGAAAAAAAUAGCAAAGAAAAACCACCACCAUAUUCACCACCACAUUACAUUCAGCACACAGUAUAUUCUCUUUUUUUUUUUUUUCUUUUUUUUCUUUUUUU